ensembl:lncRNA
UGAAUAGACAGCAAUGCAACUUACACAUACAAGUUCCAGAAGACAUCAUUAAAGUAAUUCAUGUGACUCCAGUUGUUUAAACUCAAUUUUAUGAAGCGAUGCAAGUGUUUGCGUCCAAAACAAACAAACAAACAAACAAAACAAACAAACACUAAUUUACCACUUAUUUACAAAAAUAUUGAUCUGUAAUGUGCAUUCACGAGAGAAUCACAAUGCAUGAGUGUUGUGUUCAUGCAACAGAAGAAAAAAUUGAGGUAAAACCACUGGAGUCACAUGGAUUACGUUCACAAUGUCUUUCCUACUGUUCUGGAACUUAAAAGUGUUCACACUUUUCUGGACCUUGAAAGUGUAUUUUUAUUGGCAGUCUAUGGGACAGUCACAAGCCUCCCGAGUUUCAUCCAAAAUAUCUUAAAUUGUGUUCCGAAGACGAACUAAGCUUUUACGGGUUUGGAAUGACAUGGGGGUAAGUAAUUUUUUUAAGACAAAAUUUUAAUUUUGGGGUGGAGUAUCCCUUUAAUUUGUGUUUUGAAGAUGAACAAAGGUAUUACAGGUUUGGAAUGACUUGAGGGUGAGUUAUUAAUGACAGAAUUUAGAUUUUUGGGUGAACUAACCCUUUAAUGUUUGUGGAGUACAAUUUGAGUGGAAGGGUAAAACUAAGUUAAUUUUUAAUAGUUUGUUUGGUUCCAGGUAAUUAGAUCUAGCGUUCUGACUGUAUGUGUGUGUUACAGUAAAAGCCGCAUAUUAAAUCAGAAUGGUGAUUGAACUGAUUGUAAUUUUCUAUGCAUUCAUUGUUUUAAUGCACAUCUUCCAGUCAGUCAGAGAGAAUCAAAGAGUCCACAAGCAAACUGUUGAGAGCUGAUGUUAAGCACUGAGAAUAAUAGCUGAUAUAACUAGAUUUCAUUACCUUUCCACUCCCUCAGCUCUCUCUCUGUUUUCAUACUGAAUUGGCACUAAUAUUGUAGAUCUUUUAGCUCUUUGAUUUCAUUUAACUCCUCACUCUCUUGAUAUCUGAAGAUCUCUUACAUGGCUGAGGAGACAGAGGACUUGGUACACUUGAUUUCUCCAGCACUCUCACAGGUCUUAGUUCCUGAAAUACAAUAGCAGUUAUUAUGUAUUCUAAACUAUAAAAAUAAUAGUUAAUAAAAGAUCAAAUAAAUAAAGUAGAUUACUGCUCACCAUUAUUUAAGUGCUUGUUUCACCACAGCCAUCAUUUUCUGUUGAAUUAUGUAUUUUUUUUUAUUUGCUGGUGUUUUUUCUGUUUGCAUGUUUUUUUUUUCUUUUCAUUUUUUCAUUUGAAGUGAGUUGACCUCUCUCGGCCACCGUAUUUCCAUAAAAAAAAAAAAAAAAACUUUUUACACACACUGAAGAUUAACGUUAGGCCCUACCCCACAGGUUUUCCCCAAACUUUACUGAUGCUACUAAAAUUGUUUCUGAAAGUGUUUAUUUAAAGAACUCUUAUUGGUUGCUAAAAUAUCUAUUUAUUUAUUUGUAUUAUUUUAGUGCAAGUUGCAGAUAUGACUUGUUUUCAUGUCACAUGUUAAUGCCAUAUGCAAGGCACCUCCUAUUUUAUAUGAAUGCAGGGAAUGUUGUAUUAAAUUUGCUCUGUACAGUAGCCUACAUUUCAUAUAAAGCCUGCUGUUGUUCUACAGCACGGGUAGGCAACGUCGGUCCUGGAGUGCCACUGUCCUGCAGAGUUUAG